GGGGGCGUCGUGGGUGGGUGGGGGCUGUUUUUGAGAGCGGGGAGUUGGAUUGUUGAGGGAGGCGAAAUUAAGAUGGCGGCGGAGGCGGUGGAGCUGCACAAGUUGAAGCUUGCAGAGUUGAAACAGGAGUGUUUAGCCCGAGGACUGGAGGCAAAAGGAAACAAACAAGAUCUCAUCAACAGACUCCAGACAUAUCUAGAGCAGCAUGCUGAGGAAGAGGCCAAUGAAGAAGAUGUUUUGGGAGAAGAAACAGAG